rnacentral:rRNA from 1 species
CGGGGUGAGUAAUGUCUGGGAAACUGCCUGAUGGAGGGGGAUAACUACUGGAAACGGUAGCUAAUACCGCAUAACGUCGCAAGACCAAAGAGGGGGACCUUCGGGCCUCUUGCCAUCGGAUGUGCCCAGAUGGGAUUAGCUAGUAGGUGGGGUAACGGCUCACCUAGGCGACGAUCCCUAGCUGGUCUGAGAGGAUGACCAGCCACACUGGAGCUGAGACACGGUCCAG